AUUGAACGCUGGCGGCAGGCCUAACACAUGCAAGUCGAGCGGAUGAAGGGAGCUUGCUCCUGGAUUCAGCGGCGGACGGGUGAGUAAUGCCUAGGAAUCUGCCUGGUAGUGGGGGAUAACGUCCGGAAACGGGCGCUAAUACCGCAUACGUCCUGAGGGAGAAAGUGGGGGAUCUUCGGACCUCACGCUAUCAGAUGAGCCUAGGUCGGAUUAGCUAGUUGGUGGGGUAAAGGCCUACCAAGGCGACGAUCCGUAACUGGUCUGAGAGGAUGAUCAGUCACACUGGAACUGAGACACGGUCCAGACUCCUACGGGAGGCAGCAGUGGGGAAUUUUGGACAAUGGGCGAAAGCCUGAUCCAGCCAUGCCGCGUGUGUGAAGAAGGUCUUCGGAUUGUAAAGCACUUUAGGUUGGGAGGAAGGGCAGUAAGUUAAUACCUUGCUGUUUUGACGUUACCAACAGAAUAAGCACCGGCUAACUUCGUG
rnacentral:rRNA from 1 species